rnacentral:tRNA from 1 species
GGAGGGGUGGCCGAGUGGUUUAAGGCACCGGUCUUGAAAACCGGCGUGCGUGAGAGCGUACCGUGGGUUCGAAUCCCACCCCCUCUGCCA